GGGGAAUCUUAGACAAUGGGCGCAAGCCUGAUCUAGCCAUGCCGCGUGAGUGAUGAAGGCCCUAGGGUCGUAAAGCUCUUUCGCCAGGGAUGAUAAUGACAGUACCUGGUAAAGAAACCCCGGCUAACUCCGUGCCAGCAGCCGCGGUAAUACGGAGGGGGUUAGCGUUGUUCGGAAUUACUGGGCGUAAAGCGCACGUAGGCGGAUCAGCAAGUUGGGGGUGAAAUCCCGGGGCUCAACCCCGGAACGGCCUCCAAAACUGUUGGUCUUGAGUUCGAGAGAGGUGAGUGGAAUUCCGAGUGUAGAGGUGAAAUUCGUAGAUAUUCGGAGGAACACCAGUGGCGAAGGCGGCUCACUGGCUCGAUACUGACGCUGAGGUGCGAAAGCGUGGGGAGCAAAC
rnacentral:rRNA from 1 species